UACGAAGGGGCUAGCGUUGCUCGGAAUCACUGGGCGUAAAGCGCACGUAGGCGGCUUUUUAAGUCAGGGGUGAAAUCCUGGAGCUCAACUCCAGAACUGCCUUUGAUACUGAAGAUCUUGAGUUCGGGAGAGGUGAGUGGAACUGCGAGUGUAGAGGUGAAAUUCGUAGAUAUCGCAAGAACACCAGUGGCGAAGGCGACUCACUGGCCCGAUACUGACGCUGAGGCACGAAAGCGUGGGAGCAAC
rnacentral:rRNA from 1 species